UGUAGCGACGCAUCGAUUGAUGUCGACGUCAAAAAUUCGUCAACGUCAAAUUUCUCCGUCAACGAUUUUCGCCAUACGAGAAAAAAAAUUUGAAAAAUGGACGAAAGUCAAAAUAAAGGAAAAUGUCCGCGCGCGAAAUCCUCAAAAGUAUGGAAAUACUUCAAGAUGAGUCCUAAACGGAAAGGUGUUGUGAUUUGCACUCUUUGCCAAAUGGAUAUGGCAUAUCACAAGAGCACGACGGCUAUGUUGGAGCAUCUCAAACGGAGGCACCCCAUUGUCACUCAUGAUAGAGACGAUUGCAAGUAAGUACCAACGUUGGUUAAAUUAAUUUCAUGUUUGUGUGGUGUGUUGUGUGGCUUGGGCUCUGCGCGGUGCGGUUUGUUCGUGCUGGGUUGGUGGUGUCACGUUAAAAUUGUACCGGGGGCGAAAAUUGUACCGGCCUACGUCAUCCAUAGUAAUCCAUUCCAAACCUGCCUGGCAACAGACGAUCGCGUCGGGCGAUCGCGUCGAAUGACGUGGAAGGUUCUUCAACAUUCGCGAACUCGUUCAUUGAGCACGACAAGAAAGAUAACACUUAUUUUACAAAUUACAUUUAUUAGCGUUCCUAACUUUAUAUUUGUAUUGUAUUGCAUUGUAUUUUGCAUUGUAACCAGAUCAAAAUUGUUAUGUGCACCCCUGGCCAUUUCCAUGUUACAAAACAACACAGACAGAGACACAGCUGCUGCGUUAGGCUAGCCAUGAUGAUCAAAUGCAUUGUUAGACAUAACAUUACUUUUAAAAGUAGCCACGAUAGCAUUCAAAUAAACUAAUCAUAGCAAAGCACUGCAAUGAGGUUAAGAGUAGAUUUAAAAUGCCCCACUGUCAUAGCUGUUAUUCUAAUAUGCAUUACUUUUGUGUUUUCUUGGACAAAGCAAAGAACCUUGCCGUCCUACCUUGGGAAAGAGACACAAUGCACUCCACAGAAGGCAGCUGAACUGAGCAAAAAGAUCUUGAGAGUGAUCGUCAAAGACAUGAGGCCUUUGUCUCUUGUUGAGGGUGAAGCCUUCAUAGACAUGAUUGAAUAUGCCUGCCCAGGCUUCAAAUGUCCCUCUAGGUGGUGGUUCACAAAGCAGUUGGAGAAGGCAUAUCAACAUACUCUUGAAGAUCUGAAGAAAGACCUAAAGAAGAGGUCCUCAAAAAUCACACUCACCACAGAUGCCUGGACAAGUAUUGCCACAGAGGCAUACCUCGGAGUGACCUGCCACUACAUAAACGACAACUGGGAGAUGGUCUCAUUUGUUUUGUGCACAAAGCCCCUUGAGGACCGACACACUGCAGAAAACAUUGCUCGCUGGAUUGAAGAGGUUGCCGAGAAGUUUGACUUCUCUCUCCUUGAUGAUGUCCUGGCGAUUGUCCACGAUAAUGCAGCUAAUGUGGUCAACGCCCUUAGAAUCCUUGAAGAGAGGCAGGGCGUUGCCUCACUUCGAUGUGCUGGCCAUACCACCCAGUUGAUCGUCAACCAUGCUCUGAAAGAGCCCCGCAUCAACAAGGCACUUGGGGCAGCAAGGAGCCUCGCCGGGUACUUCCAUAGCAGCGAUGUUGCCACCCUGAAGUUGAAACUCAAACAAGAGCAAAUGGGCACAGCUCCUCACAAGUUGACCCAGGAUGUAGCUGUUAGAUGGAAUAGUUCUUACUAUAUGAUCAAACGCCUCCUUGAGCAGCGGUGGUAGCAAAGCACUACCUGGAUAUGAAACCUGACCAGUGGAGCCUCCUGGAGGAGCUACAGCAAGCACUUGAGCCCUUUGAGCAAGCCACCGUCUUCCUGAGUGGAGAAGCAUACGUCACAGUCUCUGUCCUGCCUCCGCUAGUGAAAGCCCUACAGAAGUCCACGCAGACAGUCUUUGAGUCCGCUUCCGUCACCACCUUCCAAACAGCAGCCGCAGCAGAGAUUGCUUCAAGAUGGAAGAUUGAGGCUAUAUAUAAUGAAGACGGGAAAAAUGUGUGCAUCUUCGCCGCGGCCCUUGAUCCGAGAUUCCGAAAACUCAAGUUCCUAUCCACAGAAGACAUCCUGAAGGUGAAACUCAAACUUCAGACCCUUGCACUUGAAGCCAGACGAGUGCAAGUGAGGGAAGAGCCUGAAGAAGAUGACAGUGACCAGCCAGAUCAUUCCAGACAGAAGCCAAAGACUGUUCUGGACAUGUUGCUUGGCACAGAUGAUGAUGAGGAGCUGGAAGAUGAAGACCCAGGCCAAGACGGAAGGGAUGAUGGUGUCAGGAAUGAGCUGCUUGCAUACUUUAGGGAGAAACAGAUUCCAAAGGACAAAAACCCACUCCAGUGGUGGAAGGAAAAUGAAACAAAGUUCCCUGCCCUGGCUGUUGUGGCGAAAUCCUAUCUGGCUGCCCCUGCAACAUCCACACCUUCGGAACGUCUGUUCUCAGCAGCAGGGUCCAUCGUGAGCAAAAAAAGAGCAAGCCUCACCAAAGAGCACGUGGACAUGCUCACAUUCCUCCACAGUAAUUCAGAGUAGGUAGCUAAAGAGUGGUGAGGGAGGAGAGAAGUGGAGGAAAGUGGACAGUGCUAUAUUGCAAAAACUUCAUUAGCAUGUAAGCUAGUAGAAUAGCAGUUAAGAGUCAGUUUGAUUGUGCAUCAGGUUUUGUGUUGGUUUUUGCACUGCAUUUUUUGGAUCUUUUGUUCAGGAGAGAUUAAUGUUUGGAAAAUAGCAAACUAUUUUAUUUAUUUUAAUUUGUGUAAAGGAGAAGGUUUUU